AAUAUUGCGCAAUGGGGGAAACCCUGACGCAGCAACGCCGCGUGAAGGAAGAAGGUCUUCGGAUUGUAAACUUCUUUGAUUGGGGACGAUAAUGACGGUACCCAAGGAACAAGCCACGGCUAACUACGUGCCAGCAGCCGCGGUAAUACGUAGGUGGCAAGCGUUGUCCGGAAUUACUGGGUGUAAAGGGCGUGUAGGCGGGGGAGCAAGUCAGAUGUGAAAUUCCGGGGCUCAACCCCGGCGCUGCAUCUGAAACUGUUUCUCUUGAGUGCUGGAGAGGAAAGCGGAAUUCCUAGUGUAGCGGUGAAAUGCGUAGAUAUUAGGAGGAACACCAGCGGCGAAGGCGGCUUUCUGGACAGUAACUGACGCUGAGGCGCGAAAGCGUGGGGAGCGAACAGG
rnacentral:rRNA from 1 species